UACGUAGGGGGCAAGCGUUGUCCGGAAUCAUUGGGCGUAAAGCGCGCGUAGGCGGCCCGAUCAGUCCGCUGUAAAAGUCCAGGGCUCAACCCUGGAAAGCCGGUGGAUACUGUCGGGCUAGAGUCCGGAAGAGGCGAGUGGGAUUCCUGGUGUAGCGGUGGAAUGCGCAGAUAUCAGGAGGAACACCAAUUGCGAAGGCAGCUCGCUGGGACGUUACUGACGCUGAGACGCGAAAGCGUGGGGAGCAAACAGG
rnacentral:rRNA from 1 species